UACAGAGGUCUCAAGCGUUGUUCGGAUUCAUUGGGCGUAAAGGGUGCGUAGGCGGUCGGGUAAGUCGGAUGUGAAAUCUCAGGGCUCAACCCUGAAACUGCAAGUUCGAUAGCUGGCCUGGCUAGGGUACUGGAGAGGAGACUGGAAUUUACGGUGUAGCGGUGAAAUGCGUAGAUAUCGUAAGGAAGACCAGUGGCGAAGGCGGGUCUCUGGACAGUUCCUGACGCUGAGGCACGAAGGUCAGGGGAGCAAACGGG
rnacentral:rRNA from 1 species